AGAGUUUGAUCAUGGCUCAGGAUGAACGCUGGCGGUAUGCUUAACACAUGCAAGUCGAACGAAAGUUUUUACUUUAGUGGCGAACGGGUGCGUAAUACGUGAGAAUCUGCCCCUAGGAGAAGAAUAACUACUGGAAACGGUUGCUAACUCUUCAUAUACCGAGAGGUAAAAUAGUUUUUGCUGCCUAGGGAUGAGCUCACGCCUGAUUAGCUAGUUGGUAAGGUAAUGGCUUACCAAGGCCACGAUCAGUAGCUGGUUUGAGAGAACGAUCAGCCACACUGGGACUGAGACACGGCCCAGACUCCUCCGGGAGGCAGCAGUGAGGAAUUUUCCGCAAUGGGCGAAAGCCUGACGGAGCAAUACCGCGUGGGGGAUGAAGGAUUUUGGUCUGUAAACCUCUUUUCUCAAGAAAGAAGUUCUGACGGUACUUGAGGAAUAAGCAUCGGCUAACUCCGUGCCAGCAGCCGCGGUAAUACGGGGGAUGCAAGCGUUAUCCGAAAUCAUUGGGCGUAAAGCGCCUGUAGGUUGUUUAUUAAGUCCGUUGUUAAAGCCUAGGGCUUAACCCCAGAAAAGCAAUGGAAACUAAUAGACUAGAGUAUGGUAGGGGUAGAGGGAGUUUCUAGUGUAGCGGUGAAAUGCGUAGAUAUUAGAAAGAACACCAGUGGCGAAAGCGCUCUACUGGACCAUUACUGACACUCAGAGGCGAAAGCUAGGGUAGCAAAAGGGAUUAGAUACCCCUGUAGUCCUAGCCGUAAACGAUGGAUACUAGAUGUUGUGCUUAUAGUACAGUAUCGUAGCUAACGCGUUAAGUAUCCCGCCUGGGGAGUACGCUCGCAAGGGUGAAACUCAAAGGAAUUGACGGGGGCCCGCACAAGCGGUGGAG
rnacentral:rRNA from 1 species